CAGUAGCCGCGGGAAAACGUAGGGCGCAAGCGUUAUCCGGAAUUAUUGGGCGUAAAGAGCUCGUAGGCGGUUUGUCGCGUCUGCCGUGAAAGUCCGGGGCUCAACCCCGGAUCUGCGGUGGGUACGGGCAGACUAGAGUGAUGUAGGGGAGACUGGAAUUCCUGGUGUAGCGGUGAAAUGCGCAGAUAUCAGGAGGAACACCGAUGGCGAAGGCAGGUCUCUGGGCAUUAACUGACGCUGAGGAGCGAAAGCAUGGGGAGCGAACAGGAUUAGAUACCCGCGUAGUCCCUGUCUCUUAUAC
rnacentral:rRNA from 1 species